rnacentral:rRNA from 1 species
AUUGAACGCUGGCGGCAGGCUUAACAUAUGCAAGUCGAGCGAGCGGCGGACGGCUGAGUAAUUUCCGGGAAACUGCCCGAUGGAGGGGGAUAACGACUGGGAACGGUAGCUAAUACCGCAUAUCAUCAGCUGUGCCCAGAUGGGUUUAGCCAGUAGGUGGGGUAAUGGCUCACCUAGGCGACGAACUCUAGCUGGUCUGAGAGGAUGACCAGCGAAACUGGAACUGUGACCCGGUCGUGAUAACUACGGAAGGCAGCAGUGGGGAAUAUUGCACAAUGGGCACAAUCCUGAUGCAUCCAUGCCGCGUGUGUGACGAGGGCCUUGGGGUUGUAGAGCACUUUCAGCGAGUAGGCGUUACUCGCAGAAUAAGCACCGGGUGACUCCGUGCCAGCAGCCGCGGUAAUAC